UUUAGUUGUACUUGAAUUUCAUCCCUGUAGCGAUUUUAUCGUUUUGUUUUUUGUUUUUGUUUUUUUUUUUUUCUUUAAAGUGCCAUGUUAGAAACUUUACUGAGAUUAUAUUAAGCAAAAUUUUGACCAACAAAAGUGUUGUUCUACAUAUAUGCUACAAUACUGUAUGGCUCAAUGCUAAAUGUAUGGUUAAACAUGACUAUAAUUAGAUAUAAGCAUAUUUACUUAAUUUAAAAAGGACUAUACGUAUCCAGUCCUGUCGGAAUGCUGGCAGGUGAUUCAAAGAUGAUAGAGCCUGGGCCUCUACCAGACUACCUGGUAAAGUAAAAGAUUCUCUCAGACACAAUGACUCUGAGAGCCUGGACAUUUCUAAUAAUUAAUGAGUAGUCCAUAGUGCAACAACGGACAAACAUUUGCAAGUCGUACAUGAAGGCGAGAAAGAAAACCCCAAGUGGUCUUUGCCUUCCAACUCCACUUUCAGUCAUUGGCCAGAAAGAACCACCGGGUAAAUUAGAGUAAUUAUUAUUGGAUUUUUAGCUGACAGAAAGCACACAAUUUAUUCCUUUAAAUAAACAUGCUAAAAUUGAAAGUAUACCAAAAAAAAUACAUUUAGCAUUACAUAUUUAAUUUCAGUCUUUUAGAAUAAGCGAAGUAGUUCUUUUUCAGAACUUUAUUAGAAAUAAAUCUUUUCACACUUCCAGGUGAGUGAAUCACAAUUUACUCUCUCGUUCCUUCAUUUUGAGGAUUAUAUUUUUAGUUUUUCAACUUAAAAAUAGACUAUUAAAUAUCAGUCUUUAUCCAAAUGUUCAUUGCAGGUUCUUCCAAAGAGGUUCCUCAUAGUUGUGAUUACUGGGCUAAAGGGAUAGACAUGCAUAAGGCUUUCAGCCCAUAGGGUAAUUGUCUUUCCUUUACUGGGUCAAUUAAACAACCGAAUUAAACAUGUUCUUUGCUAGAAGCUGUACGUUGUAAACAUGAAUAAGAAAGUUUUUUUCUUCAAAGAUCUUCUAUUCCACUCACUAAUGGCUUUGAGCAUAGCCAAUGUAAGUUUUAAAUUCUUGAAUGUUUCCCCUUUUUAAUUGAUUUUUUUUGACAAUUUCAUACAUGUAAAUAGUGUAUUUUGAUACUAGUGUUAAAUUCUGUUUUUAAAUUUUUCAUUGUUUGACAGAAGGAAAUAAUGUUGCCUUGCUAAUGAGUUCUUUAGUAAGUUUGGGAAAUGAAUUUAAGUCACAAAAAAAAUUAAUUUUAAGUCACAAAAUAGAAUCAAAUUUAAUGUAUAAUGAAAUAUGCAACUGGUUAGUGUUGUUGACUUUUACUCACAAGUUUAUUUAAUAGCUGAGUAACGUUCUAAUUUCAAAUAUAUAAUCACAGAUAGGUAUAUAUAUCAUUACAUAUAUAAUUAAGGAUAUAUCGCAUACAGUUGUGUCUCAGUAUUUUUGGUGGAUAGAUUGUUCCAGGCAUAC
rnacentral:lncRNA from 1 species